AGUAGUUCAAUUGGUAGAGCGUCGGUCUCCAAAACCGAAUGUUGGGGGUUCGAGUCCCUCCUGG
rnacentral:tRNA from 8 species